rnacentral:rRNA from 1 species
AUUGAACGCUGGCGGCAUGCUUUACACAUGCAAGUCGAACGGUAACAGGGUGCUUGCACCGCUGACGAGUGGCGAACGGGUGAGUAAUGCAUCGGAAUGUACCGUGUAAUGGGGGAUAGCUCGGCGAAAGCCGGAUUAAUACCGCAUACGCCCUGAGGGGGAAAGUGGGGGACCGAAAGGCCUCACGUUAUACGAGCAGCCGAUGUCUGAUUAGCUAGUUGGUGAGGUAAAGGCUCACCAAGGCGUCGAUCAGUAGCGGGUAUGAGAGGAUGAUCCGCCACACUGGGACUGAGACACGGCCCAGACUCCUACGGGAGGCAGCAGUGGGGAAUUUUGGACAAUGGGCGCAAGCCUGAUCCAGCCAUGCCGCGUGUAUGAAGAAGGCCUUCGGGUUGUAAAGGACUUUUGUCCGGGAGCAAAUCCUAGUGGUUAAUACCUACUGGGGCUGAGAGUACCGGAAGAAUAAGCACCGGCUAACUACGUG